ACACCAUUAUGACAGCACGUUGAACGACGGUUUUGAAUUCAUUCAACAAUUCAUCGAACUAGAAUCGUAUACCCAGACAUUGACUGCUGACGUGUAUAACUGUGACUGUCUAAAAUUAUUUGUUCCUUUCUGUUUGGAAGUUUGCAAAAUAGUUAAUUCUUAUGACGAUGGCUGGUACAUCAACUUUAAUGGCAUUUCUUAUCAUAGCACUCACCAUUUCUACUCUCGUACCCCCGAGAGGAGCGCAUUUCAUUUUCCGUUCUAGGGCUAAAACCAACGUUCAACGCUAUGAGAGUCCGCAUAGAUCUCCCGAGAGGAUACCGUAUCACCCAGUGUCACAUUAUAACAACUGGAACACACGAUCAUACUCUUCGUCUAAUGGUUCUCGUGUGCUGUUAACCGAGUUUUCCGUUUUUAUUUGUGUCUUGUGCACUUUUACGCACUUGUGCGUUCGACAAUUUUAACUUCUGUUUGUUGUUUGUCGACUGUUCAUUUGAUGACAAAUUUUUUAAUCUCCUCGAUUGGAGGACAUAUUGACGGUGAAGAACCUUUGAAUACCAUUCAUUCACUAAUAUGUUUCUAAGGCGAAAUUUGCCAAAAGUGAAAAUUUUGGAUUUUGGAUCUUCGGUUCGAUUUUUGUUCAAAUCGACACUUGAAUUUAGUGUUUAAGAGAAAUCAUGUAAUUUCGUUAAACUGUCGUUACAGUAAAAAUGUAAGUUCAAAAUGAAA